GCAGCAACAGUGUCCACAGCUGGGACUCCUCUCAGGAGACUUGAAAAGCCCUCCUUCCUGGUCCAGCAGACAUGAUGGGAAAUCUACAUCCUGUCAGUUUCAUGCUGCCCUGAGCUGCAGCCUUUCACUUCCACACCAAACAUAGAAAUCUGAAUGUGGAUUCGAUUGUGCAAAUCUUUGACCCGAGGGGUUGAUUAAUGGGUAAAUUAAGGGAUUGAGAAUAUUCUGAAUUUUGCGGAGAAAAUAAAUGGCAGUGUGGAGAACCUUCCAGAA
rnacentral:lncRNA from 1 species